rnacentral:rRNA from 1 species
UACGUAGGGUGCAGGCGUUAAUCGGAAUUACUGGGCGUAAAGCGUGCGCAGGCGGUUUGCUAAGAGAGAUGUGAAAUCCCCGGGCUUAACCUGGGAACUGCGUUUCUAACUGGCAGGCUUGAGUGUGGCAGAGGGGGGUGGAAUUCCACGUGUAGCAGUGAAAUGACGUAGAGAUGUGGAGGAACACCGAUGGCGAAGGCAGCCCCCUGGGCUAACACUGACGCUCAUGCACGAAAGCGUGGGGAGCAAACAGG